UGUUCGCCCAUUAAAGCGGUACGCGAGCUGGGUUUAGAACGUCGUGAGACAGUUCGGUCCCUAUCCGCUGUGCGCGUUGGAGUCUUGAGAAGGGCUGUCCCUAGUACGAGAGGACCGGGACGGACGAACCUCUGGUGUGCCAGUUGUCCUGCCAAGGGCAUGGCUGGUUGGCUACGUUCGGGAGGGAUAACCGCUGAAAGCAUCUAAGCGGGAAGCCUGCUUCGAGAUGAGGACUCCCACCCCCUUUGAGGGGUUAAGGCUCCCAGUAGACGACUGGGUUGAUAGGCCAGAUGUGGAAGCCCUGUGAGGGGUGGAGCUGACUGGUACUAAUAGGCCGAGGGCUUGUCCAU
rnacentral:rRNA from 1 species